UAGCUCAGCGGCUAGAGCACCAGCCACGUACACUGGAGCUGGCAGGUUCGAAUCCUGC
rnacentral:tRNA from 1 species